rnacentral:rRNA from 1 species
CCCUUAGAUGUUCUGGGCUGCACGCGUGUUACAAUCGGGAGUACAACAAGAUUGCAAAUCCUAGUGGAUGAGUGGUUCUUCGAAAUUUUCUGAAGACUGGGAUAGUUGAUUGAAAUUAUUCAACUCAAACGAGGAAUUCCUUGUAAUUGUAAUUCAUUAUAUUGUAAUGAAUACGUCCCUGCCCUUUGUACACACCGCCCGUCGCUCCUACCGAGUGAACGAUCCGGUGAAUUAUUUGGAGUAGCUCUGGAAGUUGCAGAACUUCCUAUGUCACGAAAUUUUGUAAACCUUAUCGUUUAGAGGAAGGAAAAGUCGUAACA